AUCCAGCUGGAAAAUGAGUCCCAAAUAGGACGAAAUGCGCGUUAUCCUGGAU
rnacentral:hammerhead_ribozyme from 1 species